GUUACAUUUAAUAAAUUUCAUAAAAAACUAAAUAGCGACAUUUCAUUAAUAAAUUGGGUUUUAUAUCGAUUCCAGGUCUUAUUUUGGUGUCCAAACAACCAAAAUGAGUUUUAUUAGCAUAAAAAUAGGUAACCUCAUUGUGGCGAAAUGGGAAGUACAAUUUCUGUUUGCAUGAGAAACUCCGCCUUCGGAUCAUCCAUACAUCAAUAUUAAAUCAACAAACAUGACUAUAAGUGGCAGUCCUAAUAUAACGGUAUAUUUCCGCAUUGUAACGGAUGUUUUCAUACAAAUUUAAUCUUUUUACGAGAUGAUUACUUUUACUGAACCCCAGGUUUAGUGCACCGUGAAGCUUUAACGGUUAAAAUGUGUUUGCACAAGAAAAUAUCACAUUUGCUGUGUUCCGGAUAGCAACUAUAAAAAUGUGACGUAGCGCAUACACGAGCUCAUUAUAGUCUUCAUUUGCAUGUUAAAAUUCGUAUACGAACUUUAGUGUUACCUUGGGGUUUCCCGUUUAAAAUCCUACUUUAUGAACAAUAUUUGAUGAGAUUUACAACAAAACUUUUAAACAGGUUAAUGAAACUGUAGAAUGUUUGAUUUUUAGGCCGGCGGAAAAAUAUUUUUACUUUUUUAUUUAAUGUAACUUUAAAAGUUUAGUGCAUUUCCUCAUAAUUGGUUUCUUGAAAAGUUUUGGCUCAUCUGGAGGAGUGCAGCUUUAAAAUAUGUUCUGUUUUCUUUUUAAAAGAAUGGAUCCAACUCAGACGAGGUAUGCUGUACUGAAGUGGGUAUCAGACAACAAUAAAUUAAGCAUAGAACAUUUAAAAGUCAUUCAAGACCCUGAAAAGCCAUAUAGAUUUGGCCCUUUAAAAAAACUAUUUCCAGUAGUAAUAGUUGCUGUUGGUGGUAAGUGGACUUACAGUUAACUAUCUUGUUAGAUAAUUAAAUAGAUUUUGGUUAAUGAAAAAUGGUGAAACUUGAACCUUCCCAGGGCACCCUAAGUGUGCGGAAAAAUGAAAAGUCCAUAAUUUGAAAGCAAAAGCAAUAUCUCUCUUGUUAAAUUUGGAUUCUGCACUGAUAAAUUCAGGAAGGUAUUUGACGAGUGAUAUCAUGAGCACAUGCUAAAUCACUGAGAGCAAAAUAAUGCCAGCCAUUGUUAAAAUUUUGUAGAGCGUGAAAAGAUUGUAAUUGACAAAUUUAAAAUAAAUGUUCCUUUUUAUUUUAUCUUAAGUUAAGUAUGAGUAGAUCACUCGUACCAAUUAUGAACAGAGUAUAGUACCUACUGAACGUCCAGGAAGUGGUGGCACUACUUGUUCUGGUUUCUGUUUGACUUGUGUGUCACAAAUGGAUUUAUCCUAAUGAAAAAAUCGGCAAACCACCAAAGGUACACGAAGAAAGGGAACGCAAAAAAAGUGACCAUGUUGGACUUCAGAAUGGCAUUAGCCAAACAACUCAUUGGAGAUUUCGUAGAGAACAAAAGGGCUGCAUUGGCAACAGUCAGUAACGGACACUUUCCACAGAAAGGGGACAAAAAGGGCAGGUGUAGACAAUGCAGUAAGAACAAAAUAAGGAAAGAACCAGUGAAUAUGUGUGCCAAGUGUAAUGUGCAUUUGUGUCUGGACUGCUUUCAGCCUUGGCACAGGGAUUUACUCAAACGCAGGAAUAAUGCUGUGUAAUCAACCGUAAUGUGAACAUAGCAAAAUAUGUGUGUGACUGAUUCUAUGACACGUUUUACCGGAUACGUUUAAAAGCAACUGUGUAUGGAUUUUUUUAUUUUAAGAAUUAUAGUGUUUAAUAAAACAUGUAACAUUAUGGAGAUAGUGGCAGCCUCCAUGGAAGACAGUCAGGCGGAAGGAAGAAUUUCACCAGCAUCUUCACAGGAGUCACAAGCAGACUGUGAUUUGGAUGAUGUGAAAGACCAAGGUCGGGUAAUCUGGACACAUGAAGCAAUCCUUCUGUUAAUUGACA